rnacentral:rRNA from 1 species
UGAGGAAUAUUGGUCAAUGGGCGAGAGCCUGAACCAGCCAAGUAGCGUGCAGGAUGACGGCACUAUGGGUUGUAAACUGCUUUUAUAUGGGAAUAAAGUGAGGGACGUGUCCCUUAUUGCAUGUACCAUACGAAUAAGGACCGGCUAAUUCCGUGCCAGCAGCCGCGGUAAUACGGAAGGUCCAGGCGUUAUCCGGAUUUAUUGGGUUUAAAGGGAGCGUAGGCUGUUUGUUAAGCGUGUUGUGUAAUGUAAGAGCUCAACUUUUAGAUUGCAGCGCGAACUGGCAGAGUUGAGGGCGCAAAACGUAGACGGAAUUCAUGGUGUAGCGGUGAAAUGCUUAGAUAUCAUGACGAACUCCGAUUGCGAAGGCAGCUUACGGGGGCGCAACUGACGCUAAAGCUCGAAGGUGCGGGUAUCGAACAGG